UGUUUGACCGCAGCGUCACCCUGCUGGAGGUGUGUGGCAGCUGGCCUGAGAGUUUCGGACUGCGUCACAUGUCCUCUGUGGAAGCCACUGAAGAGGGCCUGAAGGAGAGGCUUGCAGACGCAAUGUCAGAGUCGCCCAGCAGAGACAUUGUGGGCUCUGGGACAGCAGAGCUCCAGAGGGAGGGAAGCAUCGAGACGCUCAGCAAUAGUUCUGGCUCUACCAGUGGCAGCAUUCCCCGAAACUUCGAGGGCUACCGGUCCCCUCUCCCCACCAAUGAGAGCCAGCCCCUCAGCCUCUACCCCACCGCCUUCCCCUAAAACCAGCUGUCCUGCCCCAAGGAAACUUCUCUGUCCCCUUUGAACAAUCUUGACAGUACAACCACAACUCCAUCCUCCUCCGCUAUAUCUUCUCUCUGUUCUUUGAAAUGUGAUUUUCCUUUAAUCAAACCUGGCAUGCAGGAAAACCCUGUUCAAUCAGACCCUGCGUUAACAUCCUUCGUCAUUCACUUCCCUUGUAGAUUAAUGUUAAAGAGAGAGAAAGAGAGUGCAUGGAUAUCGGCUGAACUGUAGAACUGUUUUCUCAAAGAUGUGUCAUAUUACCAAUAUCAUUUUCAAUCGAACUUCCAGUGCGCAUCUUCAUUGAAUGCAUGCGUGUGUGUGAGUGUGUGAGAGUGUGUCCUAAUUAGCUCUCGGUAGUUGAGUUUAGCUUUGAGCUUACAAAAUGCUACGCUGAUUUAGUUUGAUCAACACAUCAGUAGACAGUGUUUGAUAUAUUUUAGUAGAAUGUAUUGUAGUUCACAUUUGAAUUGAUUUGGCUUCGGUCAUGGUCGUGUUUACAAUCGAAUCUUGUUACGUUAUAGUGUUUAUUAUUAUGCACAUUUUUCUGUAUAUUUGAUUUCAUUAUUUUCAAGAGUCAGUUUCUUGGAUUCAGUUUUAUUUGCUUUAUAAAUUCAGUGGAUACAAAUGAUUUAAAUUCCUUUCAAUUUAUGCGUAAAUGACAUGUAUGAAUGAUUCUUUCAAAAAGGGAUAUUUGUGUUCUAAUGUUUCCUUGUUUGACUGGCUUUUUUUCCGGGUGAUAUUUAGCAGUGGUGGUCUCAACGAUCCACAUCAAACUUAUUUUGACACUACCCAAAUGUGAAAAAUGUAGUUCCAUCAUUAUCAUUCUCAUCAUCUAUAUAUCAUUCUGUAUUAGAUUGUUUGUUUAACUAUUUUAAAUGGCUUUGUUUAAAGAAUGUCUUUUAGCUUUGCCUGACUGGAUGUAACGUUCCUCACACACACACACACACACAACCCACAGUUAUUGAUAAAUACCAAUUAAACAAGAAAUGUGAAUACUUGGUCCUAGUCAUCAGCUUGUCAAAAGGUUUAAAGAUCUCGCUGUUGGCUGGCAGCUCUGUGCGUGCUGAAAGCCUCAGAAGCUGGAGAGGAAACAUCAAGAGUUUGUUCACCAUCAUUUAUAACGCCAUUCAGUUUGCCAUGACUUAAAAUCUGAAUGCAUUGCACAUGCUUUGUAUGGACUAUAUUUUUUGUAAUAAUACGCAAUGUGAUCUUGAAAUGGGUAUAAUAGUCAUUUAUGUGUUUGCUUAAUACAGCAUAUCCGUUCUGACUUCCUUAGUUUGUUGUUUUCCCUUGUUAACUUACCAUGCUCUCUCUUGAAUAUAUUUGUUAUACAAAAAAUAAAUAAAUGCAUUUAAAUGACGAGGUAAAAA